rnacentral:rRNA from 1 species
CAAUAGCGUAUAUUAAAGUUGUUGCGGUUAAAAAGCUCGUAGUUGGAUUUCUGGUUGAAGCGACCGGUCGGGCGUUGAUUCGUCUGCACUGGAGUCGGUUUUGGUCAUCCUCUAGGAAAGUGCGUCUGGUAUUAAGUUAUCGGGCGUAUGAUCCUGGUCUUUUACUGUGAAAAAAUUAGAGUGUUUAAAGCAGGCCUUCGCCUUGAAUACAUUAGCAUGGAAUAAUAAGAUAGGACUUUGGUCUAUUUUGUUGGUUUGCAGACCGAAGUAAUGAUUAAUAGGGAUAGUUGGGGGUAUUUAUAUUCCGAUGUCAGAGGUGAAAUUCUUAGAUUUUCGGAAGAUAAACUUAUGCGAAAGCAUUUACCAAGGAUGUUUUCAUUAA